rnacentral:rRNA from 1 species
GACGAACGCUGGCGGCGCGCCUAACACAUGCAAGUCGAACGAGCGAGCGAGAGCUUGCUUUCUCGAGCGAGUGGCGAACGGGUGAGUAACGCGUGAGGAACCUGCCUCAAAGAGGGGGACAACAGUUGGAAACGACUGCUAAUACCGCAUAAGCCCACGACCCGGCAUCGGGUAGAGGGAAAAGGAGCAAUCCGCUUUGAGAUGGCCUCGCGUCCGAUUAGCUAGUUGGUGAGGUAACGGCCCACCAAGGCGACGAUCGGUAGCCGGACUGAGAGGUUGAACGGCCACAUUGGGACUGAGACACGGCCCAGACUCCUACGGGAGGCAGCAGUGGGGAAUAUUGCACAAUGGGGGAAACCCUGAUGCAGCGACGCCGCGUGGAGGAAGAAGGUCUGCGGAUUGUAAACUCCUGUUGUUGAGGAAGAUAAUGACGGUACUCAACAAGGAAGUGACGGCUAACUACGUG